rfam:Drosophila persimilis strain MSH-3 cont1.008994, whole genome shotgun sequence.
AAAUCGGUCCUUUUCAGGACCACCCCCAAAAAUUAAUAGAGAUUCA